GUAGGAUUGAACAUUCAACUUUGCAUUAACUCACUCUUACAAGAGUGUCGUGACCGUUAUCAAUAUCUGAAACACAAAUGUUUUCAUAAUUAAGUUUCAGUUUCAAUAAACGAUCCUCGUCACACGAAAAUUCCCGUAGCGUAUCAGUCAUCAUCAGUCCCUUUCCAACACUCAAAGCGAUCCUUUCCCGAAUAUGGCUGCAAAAAUAGGAAUCUGCCACUGUCUAGUUUUGAUCGCUCUGAUAAUUGUUUCCUCAAAUGGAUCAGAUCCAACAACUUCGGAAUCACCGUGUCCAGCAAAACACGUUGACUGCUAUCAGGCUUCGGUACGGGAACAACCAGGAAUGCAGAUGAUGAUGCUCGGAAUCUGGCGUACGGGACCGAAAAAGGGCCAACCAUUUUAUUCACUUGAGGAUUUGGAGGAAAAUCGGAGACUGUUCAAGGAGAUGCUAAAAAAUCAAAUUCCUCUACCAGUUUCAGGGACCCAAGUUGAAUAGUUUAAUAUUUGAAUACAAACGUACAAAAAUUUCAAUGACUGACAGGCAAAGAAUGAAUUUAUACAACUGAAAGCUCAAAGAGGACCUAGAUCAAAGGCUGAUUUAUUUGUCACAAA